UGAUAUAUCCAAAUUAUUUCGUUACUCCCACCGACGUAGCCCCAAACAGUUUCUUUCGAAACUAUCAGCCUGAAUAAAGACUAGUUUCGUUUUAUUGUUUAAUCCACAGGCAGCCCAAGCUCACUACUAGAAAAGCGGACGUGACUCUUACCGUGUUGCGCAACGUUUUAUAUUUAUAAAGCGUCUCAGGCCAUUUUGAAGCGUUUUCGGCGAGUUAGCGCUAUGUUGGUGUUAGCAGUUGAACAGUUCAUACCAGAGUUCACACCCAUUCCAUCUGACGCUGAAAUACCACGCGUAAGCGAUGCAGGAGACAACGGGUUGUCUGCAGUGGCAUUACUUGUGAUUGGAUCUGCGUGAACAAAGGCACUACACAAGCUCUGCGGUUUUGGAAUUUCUGGUUCAUUAUUAUUGUGGUGUGAAAGUUAUUGAGAAAUCGUUGGCAAAGAGUUGUGUUAGAUGGAGUCUCAUAUACCUGGUCAGAGGCUACUUCUGGAGUCCCACAAGGCACCAUAUUGGGGCCGUUCUUCUUCGUAAUAUUUAUAAGUGACUUGCCCGACGCAAUUCUCCCUGGAAAUGCGCUGACGACUGCAAAUGUUCAAGAAUCAUCGAUGAUGCUAGCGAUCAAUGUUUGUUUCAACAGGACCUAGAUAAUCUUUAUCAGUGGGGUAUUCGCAACUCUAUGGACUUUAAUGUCAAAAAAUGUGAAAUCAUGAGAAUAACAAAGAGAAAACAACCUUAUGUCUCUAAUUUUUCCUUGGAUAAUUCCAUCUUGGAAGAAGUUAAAGAAUUCAAAGACUUGGGGGUAACAACUACUGAACACUUGAACUGGAAUUCGCACAUUGAUAUUAUUGUGUCCAAAGCAAACAGAAUGUUAGGGCUAAUCAAAAGAACAUGCAGAGGACUGGAUGACUCAAACACACUGAGAACUCUCUACUGCGCAUUGGUACGAUCAAAUGUUGAAUACUGCUCUGUGGUAUGGUCACCCUACACCAAAAAGAACACAGAAAAGCUUGAAAAAGUACAAAAAAGAGCAACCAAAUUCAUAUUAAAGACUGAGGAUCGUCUAAAGAAGUUAAAUUUGAUGUCAUUAGAAAAUAGAAGACUUUUAGCUGACGUUAAAUUUUUAUAUAAAGCCCUCAAUGGAAUUAUUGACAUUAAUAUUGACUCUUAUGUUGAU